rnacentral:rRNA from 1 species
CACGCCCUAAACGAUGACAACUAGCUUUUCGGAGUAUCGACCCUCUGAGAGGCGAAGCUAACGCGUUAAGUUGUCCGCCUGGGUAGUACGACCGCAAGGUUAAAACUCAAAGGAAUAGACGGGGACUUGCACAAGCAGUGGAUUAUGUGGUUUAAUUCGAUGAUAAACGAAAAACCUUACCAAGAUUUGAAACCUAACUGAAGACAAGCAGAAACGUUUGUCGUCUCACAAGGACAGUUAGGCAGGUGA